rnacentral:rRNA from 1 species
GACGAACGCUGGCGGCGUGCUUAACACAUGCAAGUCGAACGGAAAGGCCCUGCUUUUGUGGGGUGCUCGAGUGGCGAACGGGUGAGUAACACGUGAGUAACCUGCCCUUGACUUUGGGAUAACUUCAGGAAACUGGGGCUAAUACCGGAUAGGAGCUCCUGCUGCAUGGUGGGGGUUGGAAAGUUUCGGCGGUUGGGGAUGGACUCGCGGCUUAUCAGCUUGUUGGUGGGGUAGUGGCUUACCAAGGCUUUGACGGGUAGCCGGCCUGGGAGGGUGACCGGCGACAUGGGGACUGAGAUACGGCGCAGAGGCCUACGGGAGGCAGCAGUGGGGAAUAUUGCACAAUGGGCGGAAGCCGGAUGAAGAAGCGCCGCGUGCGGGAUGACGGCCUUCGGGGUGUAAACCGCUUUCGCCUGUGACGAAGCGGGAGUGACGGUAAUGGGUAAAGAAGCACCGGCUAACUACGUG